ACAUAACAUACACACACACGUAU
rnacentral:miRNA from 1 species